rnacentral:rRNA from 1 species
GAUGAACGCUGACAGAAUGCUUAACACGUGCAAGUCUACCAAGAAUCACUUCGGUGAGGAAUGGUGGCGGACGGGUGAGUAACGCGUAAAUAAUCUGCCCUUUGGACUGGGAUAUCCUUUGGAAACGAAGGUUAAUACCGGAUAUUAUGAGAUGGACGCAUGUUCAACUUAUGAAAGCUAAAUGCACUAGAGGAGGAGUUUGCGUCCCAUUAGCUAGUUGGUGAGGUAAAGGCUCACCAAGGCCACGAUGGGUAGCCGGCCUGAGAGGGUGAACGGCCACAAGGGAACUGAGACACGGUCCUUACUCCUACGGGAGGCAGCAGUGGGGAAUAUUGGACAAUGGACCAAAAGUCUGAUCCAGCAAUUCUGUGUGCACGAUGAAGGUCUUCGGAUUGUAAAGUGCUUUCAGUAGGGAAGAAAAAAAUGACGGUACCUACAGAAGAAGCGACGGCUAAAUAUGUGCCAGCAGCCGCCGCAGUAA